rnacentral:rRNA from 1 species
GGGUUGUGAGGUUAAGCGACUAAGCGUACACGGUGGAUGCCCUGGCAGUCAGAGGCGAUGAAGGACGUGCUAAUCUGCGAUAAGCGCCGGUAAGGUGAUAUGAACCGUUAUAACCGGCGAUUUCCGAAUGGGGAAACCCAGUGUGACUCGUCACACUAUCAUUAACUGAAUCCAUAGGUUAAUGAGGCGAACCGGGGGAACUGAAACAUCUAAGUACCCCGAGGAAAAGAAAUCAACCGAGAUUCCCCCAGUAGCGGCGAGCGAACGGGGAGGAGCCCAGAGCCUGAAUCAGCAUGUGUGUUAGUGGAAGCGUCUGGAAAGGCGCGCGAUACAGGGUGACAGCCCCGUACACAAAAGCGCAUGUGUUGUGAGCUCGAUGAGUAGGGCGGGACACGUGGUAUCCUGUCUGAAUAUGGGGGGACCAUCCUCCAAGGCUAAAUACUCCUGACUGACCGAUAGUGAACCAGUACCGUGAGGGAAAGGCGAAAAGAACCCCGGCGAGGGGAGUGAAAAAGAACCUGAAACCGUGUACGUACAAGCAGUGGGAGCCCCACCACUAAGCCAGUGGUGAACUCCACAUACGCAUCCUUUGCUGAAGGUGCGGUUAACGGAGCGCAAGCGACGUUCAACCUCAAAAGAAGCAGAGGGGGCUUAGUGGUGGGGUGACUGCGUACCUUUUGUAUAAUGGGUCAGCGACUUAUAUUCUGUAGCAAGGUUAACCGCAUAGGGGAGCCGGAGGGAAACCGAGUCUUAAUUGGGCGUUAAGUUGCAGGGUAUAGACCCGAAACCCGGUGAUCUAGCCAUGGGCAGGUUGAAGGUUGGGUAACACUAACUGGAGGACCGAACCGACUAAUGUUGAAAAAUUAGCGGAUGACCUGUGGCUGGGGGUGAAAGGCCAAUCAAACCGGGAGAUAGCUGGUUCUCCCCGAAAGCUAUUUAGGUAGCGCCUCGUGAAUUCAUCUCCGGGGGUAGAGCACUGUUUCGGCUAGGGGGCCAUCCCGGCUUACCAACCCGAUGCAAACUGCGAAUACCGGAGAAUGUUAUCACGGGAGACACACGGCGGGUGCUAACGUCCGUCGUGAAGAGGGAAACAACCCAGACCGCCAGCUAAGGUCCCAAAGUCAUGGUUAAGUGGGAAACGAUGUGGGAAGGCCCAGACAGCCAGGAUGUUGGCUUAGAAGCAGCCAUCAUUUAAAGAAAGCGUAAUAGCUCACUGGUCGAGUCGGCCUGCGCGGAAGAUGUAACGGGGCUAAACCAUGCACCGAAGCUGCGGCAGCGACGCUGAUGCGUUGUUGGGUAGGGGAGCGUUC